rnacentral:rRNA from 1 species
UAAGCGACUAAGCGUACACGGUGGAUGCCCUGGCAGUCAGAGGCGAUGAAGGACGUGCUAAUCUGCGAUAAGCGUCGGUAAGGUGAUAUGAACCGUUAUAACCGGCGAUUUCCGAAUGGGGAAACCCAGUGUGUUUCGACACACUAUCAUUAACUGAAUCCAUAGGUUAAUGAGGCGAACCGGGGGAACUGAAACAUCUAAGUACCCCGAGGAAAAGAAAUCAACCGAGAUUCCCCCAGUAGCGGCGAGCGAACGGGGAGCAGCCCAGAGCCUGAAUCAGUAUGUGUGUUAGUGGAAGCGUCUGGAAAGGCGCGCGAUACAGGGUGACAGCCCCGUACACAAAAAUGCACAUGCUGUGAGCUCGAUGAGUAGGGCGGGACACGUGGUAUCCUGUCUGAAUAUGGGGGGACCAUCCUCCAAGGCUAAAUACUCCUGACUGACCGAUAGUGAACCAGUACCGUGAGGGAAAGGCGAAAAGAACCCCGGCGAGGGGAGUGAAAAAGAACCUGAAACCGUGUACGUACAAGCAGUGGGAGCACGCUUAGGCGUGUGACUGCGUACCUUUUGUAUAAUGGGUCAGCGACUUAUAUUCUGUAGCAAGGUUAACCGAAUAGGGGAGCCGAAGGGAAACCGAGUCUUAACUGGGCGUUAAGUUGCAGGGUAUAGACCCGAAACCCGGUGAUCUAGCCAUGGGCAGGUUGAAGGUUGGGUAACACUAACUGGAGGACCGAACCGACUAAUGUUGAAAAAUUAGCGGAUGACUUGUGGCUGGGGGUGAAAGGCCAAUCAAACCGGGAGAUAGCUGGUUCUCCCCGAAAGCUAUUUAGGUAGCGCCUCGUGAAUUCAUCUCCGGGGGUAGAGCACUGUUUCGGCAAGGGGGUCAUCCCGACUUACCAACCCGAUGCAAACUGCGAAUACCGGAGAAUGUUAUCACGGGAGACACACGGCGGGUGCUAACGUCCGUCGUGAAGAGGGAAACAACCCAGACCGCCAGCUAAGGUCCCAAAGUCAUGGUUAAGUGGGAAACGAUGUGGGAAGGCCCAGACAGCCAGGAUGUUGGCUUAGAAGCAGCCAUCAUUUAAAGAAAGCGUAAUAGCUCACUGGUCGAGUCGGCCUGCGCGGAAGAUGUAACGGGGCUAAACCAUGCACCGAAGCUGCGGCAGCGACACUAUGUGUUGUUGGGUAGGGGAGCGUUCUGUAAGCCUGUGAAGGUGUGCUGUGAGGCAUGCUGGAGGUAUCAGAAGUGCGAAUGCUGACAUAAGUAACGAUAAAGCGGGUGAAAAGCCCGCUCGCCGGAAGACCAAGGGUUCCUGUCCAACGUUAAUCGGGGCAGGGUGAGUCGACCCCUAAGGCGAGGCCGAAAGGCGUAGUCGAUGGGAAACAGGUUAAUAUUCCUGUACUUGGUGUUACUGCGAAGGGGGGACGGAGAAGGCUAUGUUGGCCGGGCGACGGUUGUCCCGGUUUAAGCGUGUAGGCUGGUUUUCCAGGCAAAUCCGGAAAAUCAAGGCUGAGGCGUGAUGACGAGGCACUACGGUGCUGAAGCAACAAAUGCCCUGCUUCCAGGAAAAGCCUCUAAGCAUCAGGUAACAUCAAAUCGUACCCCAAACCGACACAGGUGGUCAGGUAGAGAAUACCAAGGCGCUUGAGAGAACUCGGGUGAAGGAACUAGGCAAAAUGGUGCCGUAACUUCGGGAGAAGGCACGCUGAUAUGUAGGUGAAGUCCCUCGCGGAUGGAGCUGAAAUCAGUCGAAGAUACCAGCUGGCUGCAACUGUUUAUUAAAAACACAGCACUGUGCAAACACGAAAGUGGACGUAUACGGUGUGACGCCUGCCCGGUGCCGGAAGGUUAAUUGAUGGGGUUAGCCGCAAGGCGAAGCUCUUGAUCGAAGCCCCGGUAAACGGCGGCCGUAACUAUAACGGUCCUAAGGUAGCGAAAUUCCUUGUCGGGUAAGUUCCGACCUGCACGAAUGGCGUAAUGAUGGCCAGGCUGUCUCCACCCGAGACUCAGUGAAAUUGAACUCGCUGUGAAGAUGCAGUGUACCCGCGGCAAGACGGAAAGACCCCGUGAACCUUUACUAUAGCUUGACACUGAACAUUGAGCCUUGAUGUGUAGGAUAGGUGGGAGGCUUAGAAGUGUGGACGCCAGUCUGCAUGGAGCCGACCUUGAAAUACCACCCUUUAAUGUUUGAUGUUCUAACGUUGACCCGUAAUCCGGGUUGCGGACAGUGUCUGGUGGGUAGUUUGACUGGGGCGGUCUCCUCCUAAAGAGUAACGGAGGAGCACGAAGGUUGGCUAAUCCUGGUCGGACAUCAGGAGGUUAGUGCAAUGGCAUAAGCCAGCUUGACUGCGAGCGUGACGGCGCGAGCAGGUGCGAAAGCAGGUCAUAGUGAUCCGGUGGUUCUGAAUGGAAGGGCCAUCGCUCAACGGAUAAAAGGUACUCCGGGGAUAACAGGCUGAUACCGCCCAAGAGUUCAUAUCGACGGCGGUGUUUGGCACCUCGAUGUCGGCUCAUCACAUCCUGGGGCUGAAGUAGGUCCCAAGGGUAUGGCUGUUCGCCAUUUAAAGUGGUACGCGAGCUGGGUUUAGAACGUCGUGAGACAGUUCGGUCCCUAUCUGCCGUGGGCGCUGGAGAACUGAGGGGGGCUGCUCCUAGUACGAGAGGACCGGAGUGGACGCAUCACUGGUGUUCGGGUUGUCAUGCCAAUGGCACUGCCCGGUAGCUAAAUGCGGAAGAGAUAAGUGCUGAAAGCAUCUAAGCACGAAACUUGCCCCGAGAUGAGUUCUCCCUGACUCCUUGAGAGUCCUGAAGGAACGUUGAAGACGACGACGUUGAUAGGCCGGGUGUGUAAGCGCAGCGAUGCGUUGAGCUAACCGGUACUAAUGAACCGUGAGGCUUAACCU